rnacentral:sRNA from 2 species
UUCCAGUUUGCGCUUAAUCUCCAUUCGGAGAGCGGGGGAACCAAGUACGGUUUUUUGUACCGUAUUAUGAAUUCUUCAGGGGUGAAUUUUGAAGCCUUUGCCAUGAGCAUUGUGUAACGAACAGGGUGACUCUCUUGCCCGAACCCGACAGCUAACCUCGUAAGCGUUAUAGAGAGUGAUC